CCCGGUCCCGCCUCAGCCCCUGGCGGCCAUUUUGCGUGCGGGCAGAGCAGGGCGUGCGGCGGCGACGGGCGCGGCCAUUUUGGGUGUCCGCCUCUCCCCACUCCAGGCAAAGGCACCCAGAGAUGGGCAGUGUGUGAAUAGUUUGUUGCUGUAUCUUCAAGCAUCUGGUACGAGUUUUCAGUUCCUCAUUCCCUUUGAGUUCCAAAUUCCCUCGCCACAGGAAGCUACUUCUUUUCUAGGGACCAGCUUACUCUGACCUAGGAUGGCAUCCAACAAAUUUGUCAUUAAGUGUGGGAACUUUGCUGUCCUGGUGGAUGUUCAUAUUUUGCCUCAAGGCUCCAGUAAAGACACCAGCUGGUUUUCAGAUCAUGAGAAAGAGGAGCUCUGCAAGCUGCUGGAAGAAGUUGUUGCUUCAAGAGUCCAGCACUACUUGGAAGCACGAAAACAACGUGGUCAGUGGAAAUCAGGGGAACACAGAUCAUCUGCUCCCUUGUUUCUCACAGCCAACAGUCUCCACAUCACUGCCUACUUCAUGAAGAGAUGGGUUAAUCUCCGUUGUGCUUUAGGGAAACGUUAUCGUGAGCUGCGUGUGUUUCCAGAGAAAUUUAUAGUUUGUGUCAGUAAACUUGACUUUGAUCCAAGUGCUUGGACAGGUGAAAAUGAUGUAUUGAAAGAAGAACUUUCCAGUGGGGCAUCUGAAUAUUUUACUGAAUCUACUGAGAACAAGGAGCUUAAGAUCAGUCUGAAUGAACAAAUAAAGCAAGACAUCCUGAAAAGAAUUGUGAAAAGGACAAAAACAAGGAAGAGCAGUGCAAGCCAACCUCAAAUCAGCAAGGGCUCCAAGAAAGUGUAUCUUGGCUCGGUGGACUCGCAGGCAGAGAACAGAAAGAGCGACUGUCAAACUGCUCUCAGCCCUCGCUCUGAUGUGAGACGUCGCAGCCCAGGCCUGCUGAAGGACUGCACAAAUACAGCUGGGAGCAGCUUGGAGCUUCCUGUUUUAGAGCUGGAAAAUUAUGUUAAUCAGAGACAGGCAGAUGAUGUUAGCAGCCAGCAAAAACCUCACGCUCUGGAGUGGUUGGAGUCGAGUCUUCUAAGUGAGAACCCUCCUUGCAGCUCUGAGUCAGCACUGCUGGGUCCAAAACAAAGUCAAAAAGUGACCAAAACACAGGCUCAACUAAAGAGCUGUGGUUCAGAGGAGAAGUUAGAGCAAUGCAAAAAAGUGUCCUCUGAAGGGACUCCUUUAAUUUCUGUCCAUCCAGAAAUGAGUAAGUGCAAUGCUGAUUGUUUGGGUCCAUUCCUGGGGGAGAAGACCCCCCGUAAUUCCAGGUUGUUUUCUAAGCAAGACAGGGCAAAGACUGCAGCUGACAAGCAAUCAUUGACUUGGACAAAAGAACCCUCUCAGCCUCUUUCUGUGAGGAACAGUAGAGUGCAGACAAGCCAACAUGAGCCAAGCACAGCCACUGAGGGAUUGCCUGCGAUGCCAUCACCGAGUCUGGAACUGCAAGCUGUGUCUUCAGAGAAGCUUCCCCAAAAAAGAAAAAAAGAAGCUGAAAAUGGUCUCAGGAAGUUAAAACUUCGAAGGCUUAAGAAGUCAUAGAAUCUGGAGUAUUACCUUGGUGGCACAAGUGGUCACCCAAAUCUGUGUGUAAGCAAAAACCGUUUGUGUGAUGUUUCUCGGUGCUUUGCAGUCAGGUUGCUAAUCCUUACCCAGCUUCAGGCUCUGCUAAGAGAUCUUUCCUAGUAACAGCAUAACCAAGGCUGCCAAAAACCUGGUUUGGAGGAAGAAGAGCUUGAGGUAUGUUUACUGUUGUCUUUUUUAUGGACUGGAGAUACUGGGCCAGGAAGGGAGUAAAAAGCACCUUUUUGAUGGAUUUGAGAGAGGUAUAAGGACAUUUAAUGAAGUAUUUAUCAGAAAAAUAAGAGUAAUUAAAAUAGUUGGAUAGUUUAUAUUAAGGUUUUAGCAUAGAUAACUCAAGUGUCAGAAACCAGAGGGCAACCACAUACAGUUUUUAUUAUCUCCUAACGUUAUUAAAUGUGGUUUAACCUUAUAAUUACAAUUUAUUUGUAAUCUUAACUGGAUAAGAUACCUGCCUGCACCCUUACAAAGGAAUGCCAUACAUUAUAGGGGGCUUGGAUACAUCAAACUUUCUCACAAGUGCCAAGUUGCACCAUUUCUGCUGCCCUCACUGACUCACUGGGUUCGAGGCUCUGUAUUUAGAGCUUCAUUCCUUGAAAAAGUCGUGUCUUGGAUCCUCUCAGAAAUGCAGUUAUUCAGGGAAAGAGCUUUGAAUCGAUGGUCAUUUCUGGAUUUUAGGUGGUGUUGCUGCUCAAAACUGUUGUUUCUGUUGUCUGUGCAACAGGACUUCUGUAAUAGCUUCCCUUUUGCAAACCUGGUGGGUGCUUUGGGUGGUGCUGGGACACUCAGGCUGUGUCACUGUCAUGUCUGUUAUCUCUUUAUUUUAAGCCCAGGGUCUCUUCUCAGACUUUGCUUUUUCUUUAUCAGCUGCACCCAGAGGACUGGCAGAGGUGUGGUCUGACAUGCUUUUGAACCACAAACCUGAUUUCCUUAAUCAAGUUUAGGGAGAAAAAGGAAGCUGGAAACUGAGCUGUUUCCAAAUCUUGGCUGUGGCUUUCUGUUACCAGUUUGCUUCUGAACAGCACAAGCACACCUUUCUGUUAAAAGUAAGGAAUGUUUAAGGCUCUCUUCUGUUCUGAAACUGCCACUGAAGCACAGAAACAGUAUCUUUGGUUCAGUUUUUUCUCUCAAACCAGCCAGCUUUGGUGGGUUUUUAUUUUUGAUGAAUCAUCUGGUUCAUUUGGUCUGUGCUCUUUGCUGAUAGUGAAACAGCCCUUUCCUAGAGAAACACUUUCUAUGGGUGCAGACGAUUGUUUCCAUUAUUCUUUACAUCAAAGGAGUUAAAAAUAUUUGUUUAGUGAACUUUUGUGUUUAAACACACAUCAAAAGCUAGACCAGCCUUUUACGUAAUCAUUUAUAAAGAGGAAGCAGCUGAUGUAAAAUCUCCCUUGCCCAGUGUUGAUCCAUAGGAAGGUUUAAAGCAUCCUAAGACUUAUUGUGAGCACUAAGCUUUGUGUUAAUUAUGGUGUUAUCUGCCAGGUAAGAACCCAAACUUUCCUUGCUGCAGAAGGUUUUGUCCAAGUGAGGUGUUAAGGAGCCAUUUAUUUGGUCAGGGAGUUCCUUCUCCCUUGCCUUGGCUGAGAUUUAAUUGACAUUUUCAUCCCAUUGGUUUUUGACUGGAAAAUGGGUUCUUUCUAAAAAAAAAAAAUAACAGAGGAAAUAUUUUUCUGUUUGCAGUGGGAAUAAGAAAGAUGUAAAAUACAGACUUUCCCAGAUUGCAUGUUGUGAAUAGUUAUCUCCUGGCUGUAUCAGUACCAGUGAGAGGUUUUGUUCUGUAUUCAAACAGGCUGCAGCAAACAGAGGCAAUAACGCCGAGUCUCUUUGCCAGCAGUGGGAAGUGUGGGUUGGCCUCAGAAAUUAGCUUUAAUAAAAGGCACUCCUCACUUCUUUGCUUUGUGCUUUUUUUUUUUUUCUCCUCUAAUGAGCACUAACUGGCUUCCCCUCACCUGUGUGAAGGAGAAGAUGUGGGCUGGGGGAACAGCAGCACAGGAGCCUUUCAUCAGAGGGAUAUCAAAGCAGCUGAACUGAGAGGGAGGCACAUGUGCUUAUCCUGAUGGCUGGGGCAGCACUGAGGGAAGUUUUCCAAGGGAAAGCCAGCUGGCAGGCACUGCACUGACAAGGCUCCAGGCAUGUGAUUGGGAAGAGUAAGAGCAGCCCCCCCACCAAGGUAGCACAGCCACGGUGGAAACCUCCUUCUGAAGUGAGUUUAAAAGAAAAAGUAACACUAA